rnacentral:rRNA from 1 species
AUUGAACGCUGGCGGCAGGCCUAACACAUGCAAGUCGAACGAGUGGCGGACGGGUGGGCAAUGUCUUGGAAACUGCCCGAUGGAGGGGUAUAACUACUGGAAACGGUAGCUAAUACCGCAUACCAUCGGAUGUGCCCAGAGGGGAUUAGCGAGUAGGUGGGGGAACGGCUCACCUAGGCGACGAUCCCUAGCUGGUCUGAGAGGAUGACCAGCCACACUGGAACUGAGACACGGUCCAGACUCCUACGGGAGGCAGCAGUGGGGAAUAUUGGACAAUGGGCGAAAGCCUGAUGCAGCAAUGCCGCGUGUGUGAAGAAGGUCUUCGGGUUGUAAAGUACUUUCAGCGAGGAGGCGUUACUCGCAGAAGAAGCACCGGCUAACUCCGUGCCAGCAGCCGCGGUAAUUC